UUAAAAAAGAAAAAACAUGUCACGCGCUGAGUUUGAGAACCCACGAGCUCUGCUAGGGUUCGCUCAAUUUGGGUUGUGGUUUGCAGGUGUCGUGAGGUGCCGGGGUUUUCUCCGCCCUCACUAGUCCUGUUAUCAGAAGCAAUCGACGCGGGCGUGAUAGCUGCUGCGAGAGUUCGAUUGGAGAAGAUAGAGAACUUUGUUUCACUCGAAUUCGAUUAUUUUGCAAAGGGGAAAACUUUGCCUUCAAUGUUGUCGCUGGUGUUUCUUGCUUCGGAAAGGUUAAAUCAAGAUGACGACCAUCGUUUGCUGCUGCACGAGAAUGGGCACAAUGGCACGGUUUGGAUGAAGGAAGUUUUGUUUUCCCAUAGGCCUGAAAAUGGAUCUGGUUGGAAUUAAGGUCGAUUGCUACUGCUUCUGGUCUCAGUCAUAUCGGACGGUACCAAGCGCCUACCACGUAUAUGAUGACAACCCAUUACACACUAAGCAAGAUUCAAGGCAAGGUCAGAAUUUUCGACUUGUUCUUCGCAGUAUUGAUCUAUUAAAGAUAUUAUUCUGGGGCCAGGUACGUUUCCUUACCAACUCUUUCUUUGUUGACCUUUCUUGACCUUUCAAUUUGUAUUAUCAUUACCAAUCAGGUUUGUUCUCUGAGCUUUCUUAUUUCAAUUGGUUACAAUUGUUGUUUUCUUUUAUUAACAAUUUAGUUGAUCAUUGUUGUUUUGAGGACUCAGAUACUACUGUUAUUGUGGGUGAGUUGUCCUACACCAAGGAGUCAUGGGGUUUUGUUUUUGCAAGCUUCUAUCAGGCCAAGACAAAUUCUGGAAGUCCCUGCUAACAAAAAGAAUGACUUAGCUGAUUACUGUAGCAAUGAUUUUAGUAUUUUGGACAAAAGUGAUUUUGAGUUGAUUCGCUUUUGUACUACUGCAACAUGUGGAAAUGCUAUACUUAGUAAUCCUAAUUUUGGGUGUUUGUUGGUUUUGGUUUCUUAAAUCAUAAGGAACGGAUUAAAGAAAUGAUAGUUAAUAUGCACUACAAAAAAAAGCCAAAGUUACAUUUUAAUUAUUUCUCAUGAAUGUUAUCAAAAUGAAUGAAGCUUAUACAAAAAUUUAUUGCUGCCUCCUAGAACUAUCUGACUAUCAUGGCAGUAUUCACUGCCCUAUCUAGCAGUUUAUCCAUACAAGUUCACUGCCCUAUCACUGUACACUUUCUGGGAAGAAAAAUAUGAUGCAAAGCAAGCAUGCCAAUUUUGAAGUUCGGCUUCAAGCUUGAAAGUAGCAAGCUGGUGCGAGUCAUUGCAGACCAUUCCAAUGGUGGGGCGGUUAAGCGAUCUCACUCUAGACAUGAUUUUGUUUUGAGUUUCAUGCAAUUCCAACAGGUGAUUAUCCGCCAAUUUCUCAUGAAGCUGCAAUGUUGGAGAUAUGAAGGUUGCAACAAAUUUCAAAUAUUGCCAAUGCGUCUCACAGCUUCCCAACAAAACAUAAAUGACAGUAGCUGUCUUACCCCUUUAGCAGCUCGAUAAGUUGUGGUUGCAGCUCUUCAUCUCUCAGUCUUCUGAUCCUUUGAGAUAUUGAUUCAGCACUGCAUAUGGCAACCAAAAUUCUGGCAUACAAGUCCUUUACUUCAACUCCAACUUUGUCCCUA